rnacentral:rRNA from 1 species
UGAGUAACGCGUGAGGAACCUGCCUCAAAGAGGGGGACAACAGUUGGAAACGACUGCUAAUACCGCAUAAGCCCACGACCCGGCAUCGGGUAGGGGGAAAAGGAGCAAUCCGCUUUGAGAUGGCCUCGCGUCCGAUUAGCUAGUUGGUGAGGUAACGGCCCACCAAGGCGACGAUCGGUAGCCGGACUGAGAGGUUGAACGGCCACAUUGGGACUGAGACACGGCCCAGACUCCUACGGGAGGCAGCAGUGGGGAAUAUUGCACAAUGGGGGAAACCCUGAUGCAGCGACGCCGCGUGGAGGAAGAAGGUCUUCGGAUUGUAAACUCCUGUUGUUGAGGAAGAUAAUGACGGUACUCAACAAGGAAGUGACGGCUAACUACGUGCCAGCAGCCGCGGUAAAACGUAGGUCACAAGCGUUGUCCGGAAUUACUGGGUGUAAAGGGAGCGCAGGCGGGAAGACAAGUUGGAAGUGAAAUCCAUGGGCUCAACCCAUGAACUGCUUUCAAAACUGUUUUUCUUGAGUAGUGCAGAGGUAGGCGGAAUUCCCGGUGUAGCGGUGGAAUGCGUAGAUAUCGGGAGGAACACCAGUGGCGAAGGCGGCCUACUGGGCACCAACUGACGCUGAGGCUCGAAAGUGUGGGUAGCAAACAGGAUUAGAUACCCUGGUAGUCCACACCGUAAACGAUGAUUACUAGGUGUUGGAGGAUUGACCCCUUC